CGCGAGUAUUCAGAGUUUGAUCCUGGCUCAGGACGAACGCUGGCGGCGUGCCUAAUACAUGCAAGUCGAGCGGAACGGUUGGAGCUUGCUCCAACAGUUUAGCGGCGGACGGGUGAGUAACACGUGGGCAACCUGCCCUGCAGAUCGGGAUAACUCCGGGAAACCGGUGCUAAUACCGAAUAGUUUGCGGCCUCUCCUGAGGCUGCACGGAAAGACGGUUUCGGCUGUCACUGCAGGAUGGGCCCGCGGCGCAUUAGCUAGUUGGUGGGGUAAUGGCCCACCAAGGCGACGAUGCGUAGCCGACCUGAGAGGGUGAUCGGCCACACUGGGACUGAGACACGGCCCAG
rnacentral:rRNA from 1 species